GCUAGCUACAGGCUUAACACAUGCAAGUCGUGGGGCAUCAUGAUGUAGUAAUACAUUGAUGGCGACCGGCGCACGGGUGAGUAACGCGUAUCCAACCUACCCUCCACUCAAGUAUAGGCUUCCGAAAGGGAGAUUAAUCCUUGAUAUCGUCAUUCUCUCUCCUGUUAGAAUGAUAAAAGGACAUCGUUUCGGUAGAGGAUGGGGAUGCGUUCCAUUAGGUAGUAGGUGGUUUAACAGGCCACCUAGCCGAUGAUGGAUAGGGGUUCUGAGAGGAAUAUCCCCCACACUGGUACUGGGAUACGGACCAGACUCCUACGGGAGGCAGCAGUGAGGAAUAUUGGUCAAUGGGCGCAAGCCUGAACCAGCCAUGUAGCGUGAAGGAUGACAGUUUUUUUGAUUGUAAACUUCUUUUCUGUGCGAUUAAAGUGUGGCAUUUAUGCCAUAUUGCAGUUAUCUCAGGAAUAAGCAUCGGCUAACUCCGUGCCAGCAGCCGCGGUAAUACGGAGGAUGCGAGCGUUAUCCGGAUUUAUUGGGUUUAAAGGGAGCGUAGAUGGUUUUUUAAGUCAGCUGUCAAAUGUAUGGGCUCAACCCUUAUUAUCAGUUGAAACUGUAAGACUUGAGUGCGGUGUGGGUACAUGGAAUUCGUGGUGUAGCGGUGAAAUGCAUAGAUAUCACGAAGAACUCCGAAAGCGUAGGCAUUGUACCAUAGCGCCACUGACAUUGAUGCUCGAAGGUGCGGGGAUCAAACAGG
rnacentral:rRNA from 1 species